rnacentral:rRNA from 1 species
CCUACGGGAGGCAGCAGUGAGGAAUAUUGGUCAAUGGGCGCGAGCCUGAACCAGCCAAGUAGCGUGAAGGAUGAAUGCCCUACGAGUUGUAAACUUCUUUUAUAACGGAAUAAAGUGAGUCACGUGUGCAUUUUUGUAUUUACUUUAUGAAUAAGGAUCGGCUAACUCAGUGCCAGCAGCCGCGGUAAUAUGGAGGAUCCGAUCGUUAACCGGAUGUAUUUGGUUUAACGGGAGCGUAGAUGGUUUGUUAAGUCAGUUGUGAAAGUUUGUGGCUCAACCGUAAAAUUGCAAUUGAUACUGGCAAGAUGGAGUACAGUGGAGGUAGGAGGAAUUCGUGGUGUAGCGGUGAAAUGCUUAGAUAUCAGGAAGAACUCCGAUGGCGAAGGCAGCUAACUAAACUGCCACUGACAUUGAUGCGCGAAAGUGUGGGUAUCAAACAGGAUUAGAUACCCGAGUAGUC